GGAAGGGCCACAGCUCGGUGGUAGAGCUUCUGCUCUGUAUGCAAAAGGCCUCAGGUUCAAUCCCUGAUCUUUCCA